UAUAUAUAUAUAUAUAUAUAUAUUUAAUUUAUUUUUUAUUAUUAUUAUUUUCAAGUCGCCGCCCUUUAAAGGAGCGGGUGCAGUGAACUGUAAUUGUGAAAAGAUUGGAAGAUCUGGCCAAAGAAGGUGAUAGCCCUGUAGAUUCAUUCCCAUGGUUCAAUCUAUAGAUUAGCUAUAGAUCACCUUCCAGUAGAAGGUUUUAUGCAUUCAGUCAAUCUACGCAGAGUGAAUCGGUCCCUAAGGAACCCCCGAAAUGGUUGUCAUCCGAUGGGUACACGAAAGUGACGAAGUUGCUUUGACUACAGAACCAUGCAUGUCUGUUGGAGCGAAUUGGAUGAUCGGGCCGAGGGCUGCCCCCUCUUCCCCUCACCCUCCUUUCCCUAAUAUGAACCUUGAGACAUCAAAGCCUUUCUCACUCGGCCUAGCCCGGUCGCCCUAUGCGACUGGCACUUCAAAAGGCAAAACUCUCGGUUGUAGUUUGGAGACCUAUCUUCAGUAUGGGCCUUUAGUCUUUUGAUUAGAGUAGGGGUCGCAAGAGAGUAGAGCGUACCGCCUUGCCAUAGUCACGAGUCUAUUUAUAAUCGCGACUGUUGUCAUAGUCAACAAGGUUGAAACUUCUAGGAAAAAACUUCGAAUUGGGAGGGCGAUCCUCUCGGUGAACUGACCGUACCCCAAACUGACAGAGAUGAACAAGUAGAGUAUACUAGGGCGCUUGAGAGAACCAUGUCAAAGAAACUCGGCAAAAUCACCCCGUAACUUCAGGAGAAAGGGUGCUCUCCUAUCUUUUGAUUAGGAAAGAGACACAUACCAGGGGAUAGGCAAUGUUUAUUAAAAACACAGGACUCUGCUAAGUGGUAACACGAUGUAUAGAGUCUGACACCUGCCCGGUGCUGGAAGGUCCGAAGGAGAAGUGUUAUAUGCUUUGAAUAGAAGCCCCGGUAAACGGCGGCAGUAACUCUAACUGUCCUAAUAUAGCAAAAUUCCUGCACGAAUAGUGUAACGACUGCCCCGCUAUCUCCGACAUGGACCCGGUUAAAUUGAAUUCUCCGUGAAGAUGCGGAGUACCAACGGCUAAACGGUAAGACCUUGUGCACCUUAACUAUAGCAGGUUCGAAGUGACAACCUUAAUUGAAUCUGUAGGAUAGGUAGGAGGUGGUGACACACAACGACCAAUCCUGAAAGACCACUCUUUCGUCUAAGGAUGCCUAACCACCGCACCGAUCAUUCGAGGGGAGGAGGGACACUGUGAGGUGGGUAGUUUAUUUUGGGCAGAUGCCUCCUAAAGAGUAAAAGAGGUGUGCGAAGGUAGGAUCAAGCUAAGAUUCUGCUCGUGAGCGUAAUGGUAUAAGCCCGCCUGACUGUGAGACCGACAGGUCGAAUAGAGAUGAAAGUCGGCAAUAGUGAUCCAGGAGUCCCGUGAGGAAGGGCUCUCGCUGAGCGGAUCAAAGGUACACCGAGGAUAACAGGCUAAUGACUCCCAAGAGCUCUUAUCGAAGGAGUCGUUUGGCACCUUGAUGUCCACUCAUCACAUCCUGGGGUUGAAGAAAAUCCCAAGGAUUCGGUUGUUCGUCGAUUUAAGUGGUACGUGAGUUAGGUUUAGAACGUCAUGAGACAGUUUGGUUCCUAUCUACCGUUAGUGUUAAAGAGAGAACUGCGAGGAGCCAACCCUAGUACGAGAGGACUGGGUUGGGCUAACCUAUGGUGUACUAGUUGUUAUGCCAAUAGCAGCGCUAAGAAACUAAGUUGGUAUGGAAGAACUGUUGUGCCGCGGGAAAUACUUCUCUAUACAAGUUCUCGUAUGAGGUUUUUGAACAGAACUUCGAUAGGCGAGAGGGGUAAGCACCGCGAGGUGUGAAGCGAUCUCGUACUAAAUGAAACGACUUUCACUU
rnacentral:rRNA from 1 species